UUGGUGCUUGCACCAGAUGACGAGUGGCGCACGGGUGCGUAACGCGUAUGCAAUCUACCUUUUACUAGAGUAUAGCCCAGAGAAAUUUGGAUUAAUCCUCUAUAAUAUCUUUAAGUUUCAUGACUUUUAGAUUAAAGUUUUAACGGUAAAAGAUGAGCAUGCGUCCUAUUAGUUUGUAGGUGAGGUAACGGCUCACCUAGACUACGAUAGGUAGGGGCCCUGAGAGGGGGAUCCCCCACACUGGUACUGAGACACGGACCAGACUCCUACGGGAGGCAGCAGUAAGGAAUAUUGGACAAUGGACGAAAGUCUGAUCCAGCCAUGCCGCGUGCAGGAUGAAAGCCCUAUGGGUUGUAAACUGCUUUUAUACAGGAAGAAACACUCGUACGUGUACGAGCUUGACGGUACUGUAAGAAUAAGGACCGGCUAACUCCGUGCCAGCAGCCGCGGUAAUACGGAGGGUCCGAGCGUUAUCCGGAAUCAUUGGGUUUAAAGGGUCCGCAGGCGGUCUUUUAAGUCAGAGGUGAAAUCCUACAGCUCAACUGUA
rnacentral:rRNA from 1 species